rnacentral:rRNA from 1 species
UGGGGAAUCUUGCGCAAUGGGCGAAAGCCUGACGCAGCCACGCCGCGUGAGGGAUGAAGGCUUUCGGGUUGUAAACCUCUUUCAGCAGGGACGAAAAUGACGGUACCUGCAGAAGAAGCUCCGGCCAACUACGUGCCAGCAGCCGCGGUAACACGUAGGGAGCAAGCGUUGUCCGGAUUUAUUGGGCGUAAAGAGCUCGUAGGCGGUUCGGUAAGUCGGGUGUGAAAACUUGAGGCUCAACCUCAAGAGGCCACUCGAUACUGCUGUGACUGGAGUCCGGUAGAGGAGUGUGGAAUUCCUGGUGUAGCGGUGAAAUGCGCAGAUAUCAGGAGGAACACCGACAGCGAAGGCAGCACUCUGGGCCGGUACUGACGCUGAGGAGCGAAAGCAUGGGGAGCGAACAGG